rnacentral:sRNA from 1 species
CUGUCUCAGCCAGCUGCCCUCCUCCUCCAAGCUGGCUCCACUUCUCUAAGCGCCAACAGCGAUGGAAAUAAAUAGCAUGUGUACAGACGCCUGGACCCUUGAGAAACUCAGAAUAUUUCUGCAUGCCUUCCUAGCUCCUCUAGCGCUCUAGAAGGUGCCUUGGAAUUUGUGUCGCUGAGUCAGCAAGCCUUUCAGAUUUGCCCGGUUUUUGUUGUUUGUGGUUUGUAUCAAGAUGGGAACUCAAACAAGUCAUUCCUCCUAAGGAGCUGGUGUCUUCAUCCAGAAGGGACAGUUUGUGCCAGCUCUCCAGAGAGAAAAG